ACGACUAUCAAAGCCUCGUCAUAAUUGCAUAAAAAUGUCCAAAACCCCCUGAUUAACCUAGUACCUAUUCCUUUUCACUUUAUCUUCUCUCAUUCUAACCAUGAACCCUAAAUGCCACCCUAGAUACCUCACCCUCUCCGGUGGCGGAACCACCUCAAAACCCCACCAAAUUUACACCACAGAGCCCUCAAGACCUCCCAUUUCCCAACCUCUGACCAGUUUCCCUCGAAUCCAUUUAGAAUAUCUCGAAUCUUCAAUCGAAACAAUCCAGCCAAAACCCUAAUGGGUCGAAAUUGAUUUUAUUCAUGUAUCCUCAACGAGAACACACUAUUAAUGUCAAUCUCGACUAAAAAUCGAAGGUUUUGAAGAUCUUUUCAAAGUCCAUUGUAAACACGCCUUUUUUUAGGUAUUUCUCCAGCCACUUUUCUUUCAUUUUUUAUUUUUUUUCUCAUUCUCAUCUCCUUCUGAUUCUUUCCUUUUCUUUCUUAUUUUUUUGUUUAUUUUUUGUGUGCAUGUUAAUUCUAAAUUUAUCUUUAGUCUGCACGUUUUUUGGCUUAUUGAAUUUUGUUGUUUGUUUUGCUCAAAUAUCCUUCUAUUUUCUGUUUUCUUUGGAUUCCAGAUUUCAAAAGUUUCCUGUAACUCUGAUCGACCCAGUUUCCUAAUUGAUUUUAUUAGUUUUGGGAAUCAAAGUGGGCUCAGUAGGCUAAAAGCCCAAAGAGGGGGGUCAGUCCAGGUUUGCAACAUAUGUUUUGGGCUGAGUGUUGGGUCAACUUGACCCAUAUUUGAUCUAUAGGUAAAUGCCAAAAGGUUUAAAGGGUAUUUGGGGGAAUUUAGCCAAGAUAAUAUUUAAAAACCAACUAGGAAGCUUCCGGGAAAGAGAGGCUUGGCUUAAUUUCAACGAUUGGUCUUAAAAUUUGGGGUUUUAACUUAAAAGAGUAGAAUUUUGGAAGGAGUAAUGGAAAAAUUAGAAGUUAUUUCUGAUGCCCUAAAGGGAUCUCUAUAAAAGGUUUAUUUCCCUUCAUUGAAGAGAGAUUUUUUUUAGAGAAUUAUAACACUGAAAACUUUAGAAAAUGGUUGAGUUCUAAAAUAUUGAAAUCUCUUGCAAUUUUGGUGAAGAAACUGGUUUUGGUUUCUUGUUUUCUUUUUAAUCUCCAUAGUUUGAAAUAUUCAAAGCACCUCUAAUUCAUUCUAGUUUAAAAAAUGGUCCAAAAGAGUUGAAUCUUGCUGUGUUUGGAGCGAUUGGUUCACGUAUUCUGUUGCUACUACUGAGCUCUUCAUUUUUCUUGUUUUCUUUUGAUAUCCAGGUACUUCCUUUGGAUCUUACUGACUGUGAAGCUCGAUUUGAAGCUUGAAAUCGAAAAUGUGGAGUUUAAGCACAACAUCAGCUUAUCUAUUUAGAAUUUAGCCUUAUUUUCUGCACUACGUUAUUCUCUUACUAUUUGAUUCGUUUGUAUUUGGCAAGUGCUGAUUGAUAGUACCAUUCUGAGGGUUGCAUUAAGUCUCUAUAUAGCAUAUGAGUCCAGAAUUUUUGUCAAGUAUGUUGUAGCUGGACUUUGGGUAUUGUCUGUGGACUCCUAUCAUUGUAUAUCUGGUCUUGGACUGUUGUGAUAUGAACAUAACUUAGAUAGAUCAUAUUACGUUGAAUGUUGAUGUUAAGGUUCUAGGUCGAUUUCAUUAUGAUUUUGUUUGCACUAAUUUUUAUUUUUUUAAAUGACUUCAAGGCUUAUUGUUUGUUUUUUUGUAAAUGCCAAAGGCAAAAGUCUGAAGACUUUACUGUUAGAUAUUCUACUAGAAAAGCAUCAGCUUUGAAUUUUAAAUUACUUUUUGGGUUCUAUUUGGCUUUGAUGAAAUUAGUAGGAGUUCGUUUCUUCUUUAAGAUCUGGAGUUGGAUGGGUUUAAGUCCAUGUUAGUGGAUGUAUUUUUUCUAAAAUCAUGUUAGUUUUUCUAGUUGAAAUUCGAGUUCUAUUAUAUUAAAUGACAAAACAAU
rnacentral:lncRNA from 1 species